CUCAACGCUGGCGGCGUGCCUAACACAUGCUAAGUCGACGGGGGCCUCAGCUAAGUUGCAGCUGGCGAACGGGUGCGUAACACGUGGAGCAACCUACCUCGACGUGGGGGAUAACCGUCCCGAACGGGCCGAUAAUACCGCAUAACAUCCUGCAUUUGAGGCAGGUGGCGAUUGAAAGGACCGGGAUCGAAGACAUGGUGCUGAUGAGGGGCUCGCGGCCUAUCAGCUAGUUGCUGAGGUAAUGGCUCACCAAGGCGACGAUCGGUAUCUGGUCUGAGAGGAUGGCCAGGCCACACUUGGGACUGAGAUACGGCCCAGACUCCUACGGGAGGCAGCAGUGGGGAAUUGUCGCAAUGGCGCGACGGCUGACGACAGCAACGCCGCGUGGAGGAUGAGGGCUCUCGGAUUGUAAACAUCUGUUGCCUCGGGACGAAAUAGCUUCGACUUAAAGUCGAGGUCUGACGGUACCGAGUGAGGAAGCACCGGCUAACUCUCGUGCCAGCAGCCGCGGUAAUACGAGGGGUGCAAGCGUUGUUCCGGAAUCACUGGGCGUAAAGGGCGCGUAGGUGGCCUUGAUAAGGUCGAAUGGUGAAAUCCCUGGGCUCAACCCAGGAACUGCCGUCCGAUACUGGUGGCUGAACUCCGGGCGUAGAGGCAUGACUGGAAUUCCAGGUGUAGCGGUGAAAUGCGCUAGAUAUCUGGAGGAACACCGGAUGGCGAAGGCGUACAUCCUGGACCGGCAUUGACGCUGCAGGCUGCGAAAGCCUAGGGGAGCAAACGGGAUUAGAUACCCUGGUAGUCCUAGGCCUAAACGAUGCAUGCUUAGGUCGUGAGGGGUAUCGAUCCCUGCCUUCGUGCCGACGCAAACGCAUUAAAUGUGCCGCCUGGGGAGUACGGCCGCAAGGUUGAAACUCAAAGGAAUUGACGGGGGCCCGCACAAGCGGUGGAGCAUGUGGUUUAAUUCGACGCAACGCGCAGAACCUUACCUAGGCUUGAACUGCUGGUAGUAGUCUUUAUGAAAGUAGAGACGACCCGUAAAGUCGGAUGCCAGUAGAGGUGCUGCAUGGCUGUCGUCAGCUCGUGUCGUGAGAUGUUGGGUUAAGUCCCGCAACGAGCGCAACCCUUAUCCUAUGUUGCCAUGUCCAUAUCGGACGGAACUCUUAGGAAACUGCCUCGGAUAACGGGGAGGAAGGUGGGGAUGACGUCCAAGUCACCAUGGCCUUUAUGUCUAGGGCUACACACGUGCUACAAUGGCCGGUACAGCGAGCAGCUAAUCCGCAAGGAGGAGCAAAUCUCUAAAAGCCGGCCCCAGUUCAGAUAGUGGGCUGCAAUUCGCCCACUUGAAGGUGGAAUCGCUAGUAAUCGGGGAUCAGCUGGCCCCGGUGAAUACGUUCCCGGGCCUUGUACACACCGCCCGUCACACCACGAAAGUUGGUUGCAACCAAAGUCGGUGAUUCAACCCGCAAGGGAGAUAGCCGCCGAAGUUGUGACUAAUGAUUGGGGUG
rnacentral:rRNA from 1 species